ACUUUCAAUAGUCCGACCCGGUCGAGGGAACCUACUGAGCUUCUCCAACUUCGCUGGAGUGAACAAUCUCGAAGAACCCCAGACGGAAAAUUCUCCGAUGGAACUCAUCAUGGAAGCGCUCUAGAGGCCCACUACUCUGGGUAUCGACGAGUACAGAGAAAUUGAAGCAAUCACAAGUCGAACCCCUCUGAGAAGGCAUCGGCAUGAAGUAUCUGGCGAUCUGCGUUUUCCUGCUUCUCGUCGCUCUCAGUGUGACAGCCCAGACUCCCCGCAGCGUAUCUCUCGACGAUAACUCGAUCAGAAGCCUAAUCAGGGUGAUGCUCUCGCUUUUCGUCCUUUUCUCAUUGAUAUUGGCACCUCGAUAUUACGUUGACGAUACAUACACCUAAGCACUGUUUUGUCAUCCGCAGCCGCCGAUGCUGCCGUGAAUCAGAUCAAGGAGUUCAGUGAGUUGUUCCCCCGAUGAGAGCGGAUGAAUUCAUGAAGAAUCCUCACGGGGGACGAUUGAUGAAUCAUGAGUAAUUGUGGUCCCUCUCCGGAAUGAGGGACACCAUAUCGAAUACUCAUAGCGAUUCUUUCGGAAUGCGGGCUGCUAAACAUACGAGGCUUUGUGGUACGGCGUUGUACUCAGUAAACUAAAGAACGAUUCAAUCAAUUUUGCAGUCGCCGAGAGCGUCGAUAGCAUCGUCCUGAAUUUCCUGAGUCUCUUCGUCGGGGAGCCUCCAAUACUGAGAUCCAGGUUUCAGACGGGACAGAAUCGCACAGACCUAGACGGAGGCUCUCCGAUUCUUCCGAAUAAACGCAUUCCGUACCCAUGACCGAAUCCA